rnacentral:rRNA from 1 species
AUUAGAGUUUGAUCCUGGCUCAGAUUGAACGCUGGCGGCAUGCCUUACACAUGCAAGUCGAACGGUAACAGGGAGCUUGCUCCGCUGACGAGUGGCGAACGGGUGAGUAAAGUAUCGGAACGUACCUUUCAGUGGGGGAUAACGUAGCGAAAGUUACGCUAAUACCGCAUAUUCUGUGAGCAGGAAAGCAGGGGAUCGCAAGACCUUGCGCUGAUUGAGCGGCCGAUAUCAGAUUAGCUAGUUGGUGAGGUAAAGGCUCACCAAGGCGACGAUCUGUAGCGGGUCUGAGAGGAUGAUCCGCCACACUGGAACUGAGACACGGUCCAGACUCCUACGGGAGGCAGCAGUGGGGAAUUUUGGACAAUGGGGGCAACCCUGAUCCAGCCAUGCCGCGUGAGUGAAGAAGGCCUUCGGGUUGUAAAGCUCUUUCGGCCGGGAAGAAAUCGCAUGGGCUAAUACCCUGUGCGGAUGACGGUACCGGCAUAAGAAGCACCGGCUAACUACGUGCCAGCAGCCGCGGUAAUACGUAGGGUGCGAGCGUUAAUCGGAAUUACUGGGCGUAAAGCGUGCGCAGGCGGUUUUGUAAGACAGGCGUGAAAUCCCCGGGCUCAACCUGGGAACUGCGCUUGUGACUGCAAGGCUAGAGUAUGGCAGAGGGGGGUGGAAUUCCACGUGUAGCAGUGAAAUGCGUAGAGAUGUGGAGGAACACCAAUGGCGAAGGCAGCCCCCUGGGCCAAUACUGACGCUCAUGCACGAAAGCGUGGGUAGCAAACAGGAUUGGAUACCCUGGUAGUCCACGCCCUAAACGAUGUCAACUAGGUGUUGGGUGGGUAAAACCAUUUAGUACCGGAGCUAACGCGUGAAGUUGACCGCCUGGGGAGUACGGCCGCAAGGUUAAAA